rnacentral:rRNA from 1 species
GACGAACGCUGGCGGCGUGCUUAACACAUGCAAGUCGAACGGAAAGGCCCUGCUUUUGUGGGGUGCUCGAGUGGCGAACGGGUGAGUAACACGUGAGUAACCUGCCCUUGACUUUGGGAUAACUUCAGGAAACUGGGGCUAAUACCGGAUAGGAGCUCCUGCUGCAUGGUGGGGGUUGGAAAGUUUCGGAGGUUGGGGAUGGACUCGCGGCUUAUCAGCUUGUUGGUGGGGUAGUGGCUUACCAAGGCUUUGACGGGUAGCCGGCCUGAGGGGGGGACCGGCCACAUUGGGACUGAGAUACGGCCCAGACCCCUCCGGGGGCAAAAGGGGGGGAAUUUUGCCCAAGGGGCGGAAGCCGUAUGCAGCACCCCCGCGUGCGGGAGGACGGCCUUCGGGUUGUAACCCGCUUUCGCCUGGGACGAGGCGUGAGUGGCGGUAUUGGUGAAAGAAGCCCCGGCUAACUACGU